rnacentral:rRNA from 1 species
AUUGAACGCUGGCGGCAGGCCUAACACAUGCAAGUCGAACGGUAACAGGAAGAAGCUUGCUUCUUUGCUGACGAGUGGCGGACGGGUGAGUAAUGUCUGGGAAACUGCCUGAUGGAGGGGGAUAACUACUGGAAACGGUAGCUAAUACCGCAUAACGUCGCAAGACCAAAAAGGGGGACCUUCGGGCCUCUUGCCAUCGGAUGUGCCCAGAUGGGAUUAGCUAGUAGGUGGGGUAACGGCUCACCUAGGCGACGAUCCCUAGCUGGUCUGAGAGGAUGACCAGCCACACUGGAACUGAGACACGGUCCAGACUCCUACGGGAGGAAGCAGUGGGGAAUAUUGCACAAUGGGCGCAAGCCUGAUGCAGCCAUGCCGCGUGUAUGAAGAAGGCCUUCGGGUUGUAAAGUACUUUCAGCGGGGAGGAAGGGAGUAAAGUUAAUACCUUUGCUCAUUGACGUUACCCGCAGAAGAAGCACCGGCUAACUCCGUG